UGAAGUGGGGAAAUGUUCCAUGUGAACAUCACUUGGACAUGGUCGAUUAGUUGAUCCUAAGAGAUGGGGAAUCCUUGUAUCAAGGGUGCACUCUUCAUGAACAUCGAAAGAGAAUUGGGUUAAUAUUCCUGAACCAAGACAUGGUGGUGGAUGACAAUGUUAGGAUGUUAAGCCCUAAUAUUGGCUCAUUAACCCUUAAUUGGGGCAUAUUAGAUUAGUAAUGUUAUUUUAUUUAUGUCAGCUUGCUCAUUAUCCCUUAAUUGGGGCAUAUUAGAUUAGUAAUGUUAUUUUAUUUAUGUCGGCUUUAGACCAUUAGUUGUAAUUAUACCUCCUAGUCUCCUAUAUAUACCAAGGAGACAUU
rnacentral:ncRNA from 1 species